rnacentral:lncRNA from 1 species
AGACAGUAGGUGUGGCCAUUCAGGUACUACAGUAACAGCCCAGGUUUGUGGGUGCCAGGACCUGCCAGCUCCCGUGCCAAGUGUUAUCUAUCCGUCAGGGCCUGCUGUGAGUGCCUGUUCACGACGUUGCUCUUUCAGGUGGAUCUGUGUACACAGGCUCCGUGGAGGUUCCUCUUCAUGUCAGCCAGGCGCUAGACCCUGGGGCCUCAGAUGUGUUGGUGGAAGGCUGAAACUCUGCAAUGGUGCUUUCAUUACUCGGUGACCCUGAAGAGGCAACACGGCGCCCCCUAGAGGCAUGACUGGCUCCCAGGUAACAGGUGACAUCUAGUUUGGCUGUGUAAACUGGGAGCUUGGGCCUGUUCCAUUGGGAUCCUCUGAGCUGUUACUUGAAGAUGGUGCUGGAAAGUAAUGCUUGUGGGCUUCUUCUAGAUUCAUCCACUGUGUGCACAGCAGCGGGACAGAAUGGAGAGGGAGGUCCCCACACGAAGCCUCACCAGGGCUCGCUGCCCUCUGCGCCGAGUCAUGGGAGAACCCUUCCCUCAGCACAGAGAUGAGGGGAAGCCCUGGGACUGGCAUCUCUUGAGUCCCGACACUGCCCUGGUUGGGGGGUGGGGGAGCUGUGGACAGGGAAGGCUGGCCCUGAGCCUCAAUGCUGCGCCUGGAUGACUUCAGCAACCAGGAGUUUUUCUCUUGAGUUGGCAGCUGCUUGUCAAUCUGCUCUCCACCCAUCCACUCAAUAAACUGUACACAG